CUCCCCAACUCUAUGCGCCUACGCGUGUUUAGAGACUAUCUCGCCCUCUGUGGGUCUGAACCCCGGCCCAAAUUUCUUGGGGAGGCUCCAGUAGGGAAUCUUCCCCAAUGGGGAAAACCUUGAUGAACAACCCCGCGUUGUGGAUGAAGGCUUUCGGGUCGUAAACCACUGUUGUAUGGGAAGAACAGCUAGAAUAGGAAAUGAUUUUAGUUUGACGGUACCAUACCAGAAAGGGACGGCUAAAUACGUGCCAGCAGCCGCGGUAAUACGUAUGUCCCGAGCGUUAUCCGGAUUUAUUGGGCGUAAAGCGAGCGCAGACGGUUUAUUAAGUCUGAUGUGAAAGCCCGGAGCUCAACUCCGGAAUGGCAUUGGAAACUGGUUAACUUGAGUGCAGUAGAGGUAAGUGGAACUCCAUGUGUAGCGGUGGAAUGCGUAGAUAUAUGGAAGAACACCAGUGGCGAAGGCGGCUUACUGGACUGCAACUGACGUUGAGGCUCGAAAGUGUGGGUAGCAAACAGGAUUAGAUACCCUGGUAGUCCACACCGUAAACGAUGAACACUAGGUGUUAGGAGGUUUCCGCCUCUUAGUGCCGAAGCUAACGCAUUAAGUGUUCCGCCUGGGGAGUACGACCGCAAGGUUGAAACUCAAAGGAAUUGACGGGGACCCGCACAAGCGGUGGAGCAUGUGGUUUAAUUCGAAGCAACGCGAAGAACCUUACCAGGUCUUGACAUCCUUUGAAGCUUUUAGAGAUAGAAGUGUUCUCUUCGGAGACAAAGUGACAGGUGGUGCAUGGUCGUCGUCAGCUCGUGUCGUGAGAUGUUGGGUUAAGUCCCGCAACGAGCGCAACCCUUAUUGUUAGUUGCCAGCAUUCAGAUGGGCACUCUAGCGAGACUGCCGGUGACAAACCGGAGGAAGGCGGGGACGACGUCAGAUCAUCAUGCCCCUUAUGA
rnacentral:rRNA from 1 species